AUUUUGGAAGUCUUUUAGA
rnacentral:miRNA from 1 species